CUGGCGGCAGUAAGCUGUCGCGCGAUUUCGGAACGCGGUUGCCAGUACCUGCAGUAUCGGGACUACAUUUCGGAAUACACCCGAAGAGAACGGCGGUAAUCGCGCUGCGUGCGACGCGCGGUUUCGUAAGGAGGAAUCGGGACGGUUGCAUCUCGUCUCUGCGGUAGGUGGAAAUAAAUUGGGUAUAACCUACGACGUCGGCGAGUUGGUUCUGGUCGUAGUACUCGGGUCUGAUGGUUCGGUGGCACUGCGGUGCAGCCGGCGGUGUAGGAUUAAUCCUGAACUGUGGACGGAGGGAGAGGCGGGAGUAUUAACGACCCCUUCGUUUACCUACCGCAAUUCAACAAUUGACAAACUGUAGCUAGGCUCUGGCCCGCGCGUAUCCGUGUGUUUGUGUAUGUAUGUACAAAGCGCGCUUCGCGCCCCCUGCAAAACUACUCGAGCCCGUUUCGAACUGUACUGUAUACAAAGGGCACUAAUCUUACCCGUUAUGAUUAUGGCUACGAGGACGAGUGUCUAUCUUUCUCUCGUUCCUUGAUCAGCGGAGUCGAGUGAUGUCACGAAGUCGCGUGUUCUGUUCGAGGAAUGAAAAUGAAGAUAAAUCCUCGACUCGCGAGUUGGCUGACAAUGAGGUAUAACCGAUAUGCGCUUGGAACGUAUCAUCGAGUCGUUGUACGAAGAUUUAUCGAUUCGAAAAGUUCAAAUUUUAGGGCAGAAUCUUGCGUGUUGUUUUCGAAAAAUCAAUUUUCUAAAAACUACAGAUUUUUGUAGUAAAUAUGGAAGAAAAUGAAAGUUACAAGGAAAUUGAAGGUUUAAUAUACGGAGCAGGCAUCGCUAACUAUGGACGCUUUAAAGUCAAGAUAUCGUGUUAGCCAGAUUUAAAUAGGGUCAACUUCAAGCCGCCAUACCAGCGAGAUUUACCAUCGAAAACGAACAAAGAAAUCGUCCGCAUUACGUUAUAACUCUCUCUUUCAUGUGUAAAAAAUUUGGACUUAUUAAAUAGAGUUUACUAUGAAAAGUGAAAAAAAAAAA